UUUUGCGCAUUUUUUGCUCUCUGCUGCACAUCCGCAGCUCCAUCAAAGAGCAUUUUACUGUCUGCUUCCAUUAAUCCCCAACACAGAGGAUGUGUUAAUCUGUCAGCGCACAGCCCCGAGAAUUACCAGCAGUUCUCCUCCGACUUAAUGACUUUUAAAUCGCGCGUAAUGGAGAUUUCUCUGCCGUUUGAGGGCACAGAACAAAUAAAUGGUGACUAAUUUGCACCAGCAUUGUUGAUACAAUUACCCAGCUGAGUUUUCCGGCAGAAAACCGUUAUCCGCCUCCAUAUGUUCUUCAUUUUUUCUCCUCUCUGAUCAGCUUUGAAAACAACAACAAAAAGUCAGCGGCUCCCUCUGACCCGCAGUCCUGCCGGGCUGGAGGUGCCGCUCUGCUGCAGGCAGGUGCGGCCUCCUUUCACCCUCCUUCAGACAAACACUGGAUGUGAGCAUUGUCAUUUUUUAACAUUCUGACGCGAUUCUGGCGCCAGUUGCUUCCUAUAAAGAAUAAAAGUCCUUUCUGAGCUCAUCCCGUGCAGACAGGCCCGGCCUGCAUGCUGCUUGCUGCCACAUGGCUGCAGGAGCAACAAGUGAGCAACACUGGAGAUGAGCAACGAUUCAACUGUUUAUGCAACAUUGGCAGCAUUUUUAGUGACUCCAGCAGAGCAGCUGCUUCACCGAAAACAACGGAAAAAAGACUGAGCUCACAUCUGACAGCGAGGCGAAGAAGUGGAGCGGAGCCGCAGAUGAGGCGGCAGAGGGGGCCCGGGGGCCGGGGGGGGGGCCCGCACAUGCAGCGCUUCAGGCUAAACACUAAGAGACAGGAGAUUGUUGUGGAUGCGGCGCAUCAGCAGACUGGCGCCGGCCGCCUCUCUGGCUGACUGAGGCGGGUUCAAGCAGCAGCCCAGGCUGCGUCUGGAGGCCUGUGCGUGCGGGAGCCCCGCACGGUCCGCACCGUUUGACCAGACCCCCCCCAUCCAGAGACCCGCGCUGCCUCGGCCCGCUCUCAGCUCCACUCUGCGCUAAAUCAUCGCUGCGCCUCCUGAUGUGGAAGUAGAAGCGCUGCAGGAGGAAACAUCAGCGACGCUGAGCAGCAAGAAAAAUAAAAAAUAACAAUAAAA